rnacentral:rRNA from 1 species
UACGGGGGGAGCAAGCGUUGUUCGGAUUUACUGGGCGUAAAGGGCGCGUAGGCGGCCUCUGCAAGUCGACUGUGAAAUCUCCGGGCUUAACCCGGAAGGUCAGCCGAUACUGCAGGGCUAGAGUGCAGAAGGGGCAACUGGAAUUCUCGGUGUAGCGGUGAAAUGCGUAGAUAUCGAGAGGAACACCUGCGGCGAAGGCGGGUUGCUGGGCUGACACUGACGCUGGAGGCGCGAAAGCUAGGGGAGCGAACGGG